CCUACGGGAGGCAGCAGUGGGGAAUAUUGGGCAAUGGAGGAAACUCUGACCAAGCGACGCCGCGUGCGGGAUGAAGGCCUUCGGGUUGUAAACCGCUUUCAGCAGGGAAGAAGCGAAAGUGACGGUACCUGCAGAAGAAGCACCGGCUAACUAUGUGCCAGCAGCCGCGGUAAUACAUAGGGUGCAAGCGUUGUCCGGAAUUAUUGGGCGUAAAGAGCUCGUAGGUGGUUCGUCACGUCGGAUGUGAAAAUCUGGGGCUUAACCCCCGAGACCUGCAUUCGAUACGGGCGAGCUUGAGUAUGGUAGGGGAGUCUGGAAUUCCUGGUGUAGCGGUGGAAUGCGCAGAUAUCAGGAGGAACACCAAUGGCGAAGGCAGGACUCUGGGCCAUUACUGACACUGAGGAGCGAAAGCGUGGGGAGCGAACAGGAUUAGAUACCCUGGUAGUCCACGCCGUAAACGGUGGGCACUAGUUGUGGGGACCUUCCACGGUCUCUGCGACGCAGCUAACGCAUUAAGUGCCCCGCCUGGGGAGACGANCGCAGAUAAACUACGAAGAAGUAGACGCGNGAGACGNGCCGACGGACGACGACGAGGGAGGUAGG
rnacentral:rRNA from 1 species